CAUUAAAAACCUAUCAUUCAAUAAAUUAAAUAUAUGUAAACACAUUUAUCAUAUGUAAAGUUAAAUAUAAUCUUCUUAAUCAUACCAACAACAGAAGGAUAUGAAGAAUCAGAACUACUAGGAGUAGUAGUUGCAACAGGUUGUAUGUCUAAGAGUUGUUGUAGAUGACUUGCUAUUCAAUCUAAAUUGAUGUAGGAUAUCUCAGAAAAAAACAAGGCAAAUAGGGCAAAACAAGUGAUAAAGCAUACAUCGGGAUCAAAAAGUUAUGCUCAAAUUCGAUAUGAACAGGCACAAAAGAAGGAGGAUCGAAGUGAGCCCAAUAGAAUUGAGAUGUUUGCCUUGACACACACAAGAAAAGAUGGGACGCCUGUUGAUGAUCAUUCUAAGGAGAUUAUGGAUCAAUUUCAACAAUUACUAUCCCAACCUGAGGAGACAUCUUCUUCUACUUUUGCAUCAUCUAGAGCAUCUACAUCUGUAUCAUCUACAUCUGUAGCAUCUACAUAUGUAGAUGAGAUAUAUACUCAAGUCAUGGGUCUAGAGAGGCAUGGUCAUGUUCGAGAGUAUGGAUUUGGUCCUACUCUUACCUCAAUCUUUGGUUCUACUAGUAGAAGGCGAUCAGGAGUUAUUCUUUCAACACAACUUGAAAACGCCCAAGAAAGAGAUGCUAAUAGCUGCAGAACAAAAGUUUACAACUACAACUGAAGAACUCUCAAAUGUGAAAGAUGAACUCUCACAUGUGAAAGAAACAUUUGAAGAGAGGUUGAUAGAAGUUCAAAAGAAGACACGUGAAGAAGUGAAAGAAGAAUUUGAAGAAAAAAUGAUGGAAAUGCAAAGAAAAAUGCAAGCAUAAAUGCAAGCACAAAUUCAAGAACAAAUGAUGCAAAUGAUGCAAAUGAUGCAACAAUUUUAGCAAAAGUAGUAGACAUUUGAAGAUUUUGCUACAUCUUUAUUUGAUAGAUUCUCUUAACUUUUUUGAAGAUUAUGCUACUUAUUUAUAUGAUAGA